GAAUGAAGGAAGCAUGGUAGUGUACACGGAAAUUGAAUUCAUGGGUCAACAUGUCUGCUCUCUCUGAUGCCUUAUCUUGAUUUGAGGGCCUGGUUUAAGACCCACAUCU